UAGAUCUCAUCCUGGAGCAUUUGGUGCUAUAAAACAUGUGUGAAACGCAAACGAACCCAGGCUGAAACAAAUCCUGGACCUGCAUGAGUAGUAGUAGAUACAGUCCAAAGAAGAAGCCUGAAGCAGGAGAGGAGAGAGGAGGAUAAAAUAACAACCCAAUGUUUAUAUCCCAGGACAAAUUGGCUAGCAACAGAAAGCUAGCUAUUGCCAUAAAUGUUUAAUACUUUUCGACCUGUCCCCAAAUUAAUAUAAGUGGUUCAGAGUUUGUUUUUAUAUGUCAACCCGCGUGUCCUGAGCGGAGUGGAUGGACAAAAAAGUACUCGUGCGGUCUGUUCAGCAUGUAAUUUGAAGUAGGCUAGAAGCGGAGAGGGUAGUAAGUAGGGCUGCACGCACCGGUAGAUAACAGUAGCCAGAAAAUACUGGGCCGGUACCAAAGAAUACAACCGCAAGAUUGCCCUAUCAUCGGCAUCGCACCAACUACUGUGAAUGGUGAGUCAUUCAUUCAAACAUUCUGUAUUAUUUUCACAAACUGGCUGUAGAGAAUCUUAUGGUCAUUUUACACAGCACUAUUUAUGCAGUGUCCCUUGCUGAAUUGAACACUAAGGCCGGGAUUCAGUCUGAUUGAGCUUUGCCCACAAUGCACGUUUUUAAGGCAAUGUUUCACAUUCAUGGUGGCUCAAUUGAAAACUACCUUAAAAUGGAGCAUUGUCCAAAUUGACACUCGGAUUGAUUCCCAUCCUAGCUAUAUUACUGAGACUUAAUUGUCCUGUGUACAGUUGAGUGAAUCCCUAACAAAGACAUCUGCAGUCUGGCUGUUGAGUUAUUUGUCUUGGUGGCAGGUUCAGACUUCACUGGAGCUGCUGCUCAAUAUGGACAUCCUGGUGUAUCAAGAAGCGCAGAAUAGAAAACCAUGUCAUAUAAGGCACUCAGGACUACCCAUCCCUUAACCAAGCUAUUUGGACCCAACCACCAGAGAAAGUGACAGGGACAGCACUCAGGACUACCCAUCCCUUAACCAAGCUAUUUGGACCCAACCACCAGAGAAAGUGACAGGGACAGCACUCAGGACUACCCAUCCCUUAACCAAGCUAUUUGGACCCAACCACCAGAGAAAGUGACAGGGACAGCACUCAGGACUACUCAAACCCCCAGAUCAGCAUGCUGCUGCAUUAUCGCUGCCUUAAUUCCAUCACUUUAACUCUUCUUCUUAAAGUUGUAAUCUUUUAAUACAUUUUCAUAUUCAGAUUCUUGUAAAUCAGUACCGUUAAACCAGUGCCUUGGAUAAUUUUUGGUCCUCUAAUACUGACACCAGCCGGCUAAAGCCUACUCUUAUUCUUAGGAAUAAGUAUGGAAAUACAAAUGUUUUACCCAUGACGCAUCUACCAGGGUAUUUUGAAUGGGGCAAAAAGGGAAAAUAUGGACAGUUAUUAAUCAAGCAGAGAUAAGCUUAUUCAGAAGUUGAUGCACUUUAACCCACCAAUUAAUUAUAAUUUACACAUGUUCUAUAACACCCAUUACACCUUUGAAACUUCAUAUGAGUCUGGUCUGCACAUGGCUGAGGGAGGAAUGUAGUGAUUUAUAAUACAAGUUAUUACCAUCAAGAUGAUGGUACAGGACCCCACUACUGAAAAUCAACCUGGGUUCGUAAAUUAUUUGUGCCAUCCAUCUCCCUAAUGAAAAGGAUUUAUCCUAGCCUUCACCACCACUGUACUGUAUGUAAAAGCGUUAUGUUGUACUGUGCUAUUUGUCUAUGUCAAUACUGUAUUUCUAAUGCUAGUGUUUGUGAGAUGCAGUAAGUCUGUUUACAAGUAUAUUUAUGCUGUAAAGCAGGGUUUCCCAAACUCAUUCAAAUAACGAAUUUAAAUCAGCUGUGUAGUGCUAGGGCAAACAUUAUAUACAGUAUGCACCCAGGGUGGGCCACAGAACCGAGUUUGGGGAACCCUGCUGUACAUUAUGAGGCUGUAAUACUCUAUUCGAUACUGUCACGACUUCUGCCGAAGUCGUUGCCUCUCCUUGUCCGGGCGGUGUUUGGCGGUCGACUUCACCGGUCUUCUAGUCAUCAUUGAUCCAUUUUUCAUUUUCCAUUGGUUUUGUCUUGUCUUCCCACACACCUGUUGUCAAUCCCAUUCAUUACCUGUUGUGUAUUUAACCCUCUGUUUCCCUUCAUGUGUUUGUCAGAGAUUGUUCGUUGUCAUGUGUUGUGUUAAUUGUGUAUAGGUGUGCGACGGGUCUUCGUACCCAGAUUUGUUUCAUAUUUUUUUUAAGUGAGUGUUAUGGAGCAGAUUACUGGGACUUUAAUUAAAGUACUCCAUUCUACACUCUAUUUGACUCUCCUGCGCCUGACUUCCUCUGCCACUUAUACACGCCAUUGUGACAGAUACCAGUACUCAAG